AGGAAGCUCAACCUCAAAGGAGCCCUGACUUUUUGUUGUACUUGCAGCUAACCUUUUCACAUUAGCACACUUCACUAAAACCUUGAUGCCUGAAACAUAGGGUGGACAUAAGAAAUUUCUAAACUUUUGGAUGAGAGGAUAUACGUUAAAGAUGUCACUUUAAGCCUAAUGGACUCUCCUUUAAUGGGUAUGUUAGAAUUCAAAUAAUCAUGAUUGUCCCCUCUUGUUUACUUGUUAAUUUUUGAACCAUUUUCAUGUGAGGGACCAUGUCUCUUUUAUUAAUUAAACUUAAGCAUAUGGAGCUUUCAAAUAUUAAUUAAACUUGAGCAUAUGAGGAUGUGACUUCAAUUAGAAUUUGACUCCUUUUUAUGCACUAACUAAGCUCAGCUAGAUGAAUACUUUGGUAUAAUAAAAUAAGACAAUAACUACUAAUGAGUUUUAGUUCAAUCAUUUUCCUGACUGUGAAGUCUUAACUGAAAUCCCAAUUAAAGUCAAAUUAACGAAUUUUUUUAUUAUUUUAAAAAACAAAGCGACAACUUAAAAACCAUCACUAUUACAUGAAAUUAAUGGCAUCAAGAUUAGGAGGUCAUGAAACAAACCUGAGAAGUCAUAAUGGCUACUGCAAUCAAGGCAAGUGAGGUUCCCUUUGAGGACUUGGCAUGUCGACAGCUGAAAAAUCCCUGAAAGAACCACAGCAAAAAGCAGCACUGCAACAGGACGAAGCGCCAUGGAUUGGAAGCCAAAAGCUGAAGGAAUUUAGUGUGAAGAUUGGAGAAUGAAUGGCAAGUAUUAUAGCAUAUAAAUAAGAAGAGAGAGCAUCCUCAGACAACAAACAUAAUAAAUAUGGACCCCAAUUUUAAUGCCAGUAGGUUGCCAUUAAUUUUACUUCCUUAAAUCUUGUGAACUCACCUCAACAAGCAGAUAGAUUUUUCUUUUACUUUCAUCACAUUAUAGUCAAGGAUAGUUAUCACUUUUGACAAAUGAAGCUAUCCAAGGACACAGUGAUCACUUCACUUAUGUUUGAAGUAAUGUACUAUUAAAAUGAUCUUAAUUGAUUCUACAUGUAUCUCAACACAAACAAUAUGUGAUUGAAAAGCUGUUACCAUAUAAAAUUGAAAUCAUAUUAGCAGCAUCUUUUGAAGUAAGCACAUUGCAUUUAAUAUGUUAGUACAGUGGUAGGUGAUGGUUCAGUUUUGCAGCACAAAUGACAAAAACAUUAAAGAAAGUGGGAAAUUUUUCACACCAUCAUAUCAUAAUUGACAAGUGCAUAAUUAAUUCUAGCCUACAAUGUAUUGUAAGAA
rnacentral:misc_RNA from 1 species